AUGCGCGGCCUGGUUAUCCCCCGUAAUCUCCAACCCCACCCGCGCGCCCGCCUCGUUAGGUCCGCCCCUUCCGUGGCGCAUGCUCAGCCGGACCGGACGGACAGGGGAUCUCGUCGUUUCCUCCCUCCCUCCCUCCCUCCCUCCGGGAAACAAAGCGGGGGUUGCGGUUUCAAGAUGUCAACCUGCACGUUUGCGACCUCCUGCGUGCUCUUGGGCAAUGCUCGAACAACCGAUGCCCCCCAGAAAGCGGUCAAGAGCCGCCUGAGCUUCCUUGGCCGAGGCGCCGUGCAGGUGCCGAGCCUGAGGUCCUCCUCUUUCAAGAAGCUGGACGUCUCCGCGGCGGCCACGUACAAGGUGAAGCUGGUGACCCCGGAGGGGGACGAGCACGAGUUUGAGGCGCCGGACGACACCUACAUCCUGGACUCGGCGGAGACGGCGGGGGUGGAGCUGCCCUACUCGUGCCGGGCGGGGGCAUGCUCGACCUGCGCGGGCAAGAUUGAGGCGGGCGCGGUGGACCAGUCGGACGGGUCGUUCCUGGACGACGCGCAGCAGGAGGGCUACGUGCUGACGUGCGUCGCCUACCCCAAGUCGGACUGCGUCAUCCACACCCACAAGGAGGGGGACCUGUAUUAG
rnacentral:rRNA from 1 species